GAUGAACGCUGGCGGCGUGCUUAACACAUGCAAGUCGAACGGUGAAGGCGGAGCUUGCUCUGCUGGAUCAGUGGCGAACGGGUGAAUAACACGUGAGCAAUCUGCCCCUGACUCUGGGAUAAGCGCUGGAAACGGCGUCUAAUACUGGAUACGAGCUGCGAAGGCAUCUUCAGCAGCUGGAAAGAAUUUCGGUCAGGGAUGAGCUCGCGGCCUAUCAGCUUGUUGGUGAGGUAAUGGCUCACCAAGGCGUCGACGGGUAGCCGGCCUGAGAGGGUGACCGGCCACACUGGGACUGAGACACGGCCCAGACUCCUACGGGAGGCAGCAGUGGGGAAUAUUGCACAAUGGGCGAAAGCCUGAUGCAGCAACGCCGCGUGAGGGACGACGGCCUUCGGGUUGUAAACCUCUUUUAGCAGGGAAGAAGCGAAAGUGACGGUACCUGCAGAAAAAGCGCCGGCUAACUACGUG
rnacentral:rRNA from 1 species